rnacentral:rRNA from 1 species
AACGAACGCUGGCGGCAUGCCUAACACAUGCAAGUCGAACGAGACCUUCGGGUCUAGUGGCGCACGGGUGCGUAACGCGUGGGAACCUGCCCUUAGGUUCGGAAUAACUCCCCGAAAGGGGUGCUAAUACCGGAUAAUGUCUUCGGACCAAAGAUUUAUCGCCUUUGGAUGGGCCCGCGUUGGAUUAGCUAGUUGGUAGGGUAAAAGCCUACCAAGGCGACGAUGCAUAGCUGGUCUGAGAGGAUGAUCAGCCACACUGGGACUGAGACACGGCCCAGACUCCUACGGAAGGCAGCAGUGGGGAAUAUUGGACAAUGAGCGAAAGCCUGAUCAAGCAAUGCCGCGUGAGUGAUGAAGGCCUUAGGGUUGUAAAGCUCUUUUACCCGGGAUGAUAAUGACAGUACCGGGAGAAUAAGCACCGGCUAACUCCGUG